AGUGAACGCUGGCGGUAGGCCUAACACAUGCAAGUCGAACGGCAGCACAGUAAGAGCUUGCUCUUACGGGUGGCGAGUGGCGGAUGGGUGAGGAAUACAUCGGAAUCUACUUUUUCGUGGGGGAUAACGUAGGGAAACUUACGCUAAUACAGCAUACGACCUACGGGUGAAAGCAGGAGAUCUUCGGACCUUUGGCGUCUCAAAUAGCCGAUGGCGGAUUACCUAGUUGGCGUGGUAAAGGCCCACCAAGGCGACGAUCCGUUGCUGGUCCGAGAGGAUGGUCAGCCACACUGGAACUGAGGCACGGUCCCAACUCCUACGGGAGGGAGGCGUGGGGAAUAUUGGAGAAUGGGGGGAAGCCUGAUCCAGCCAUCGCGGCUGGGUGAAUAAGGCCUUCCGGUUGGUAAACCCUUUUGUUUGGAGAAAAAAACAGCAGGUAAAAACCACGCUGUUCUGAAGGUUCCCAAAUAAUAAGCCCCGGCUAACUUCGUU
rnacentral:rRNA from 1 species